rnacentral:antisense_RNA from 1 species
CUUCAGCGAACCGAUCCACAGCGGAUUCUCGGGCGAGCGCUCCCGGCCGUAUGUCGCCAGCAGCGCCUCGGCCUC